rnacentral:rRNA from 1 species
UUAAGAAUCUUGCGCAAUGGGGGCAACCCUGACGCAGCGACGCCGCGUGGAUGAUGAAGGCCUUCGGGUUGUAAAGUCCGGUAAGCAGGGAAGAAUAAGCAACGGGAAAUAUUCGUUGUGAUGACGGUACCUGCCUAAAGCCCCGGCUCACUACGUGCCAGCAGCCGCGGUAAUACGUAUGGGGCGAGCGUUGUUCGGAAUUAUUGGGCGUAAAGGGCGUCUAGGCGGGGGAUUAAGGUAGAUGUGAAAGCUAUGGGCUCAACCCAUAAAUUGCAUCUAAGACUGGUUGGCUUGAGUUCGGGAGAGGAGAGCGGAAUUCCAGGUGUAGCGGUGAAAUGCGUAGAUAUCUGGAAGAACACCAGUGGCGAAGGCGGCUCUCUGGCCUAGGACUGACGCUGAGGCGCGAAAGCGUGGGGAGCGAACA